rnacentral:rRNA from 1 species
UACGUAGGGGGCGAGCGUUGUCCGGAAUUAUUGGGCGUAAAGCGUGCGCAGGCGGUCUCGUAAGCUGGGUGUGAAAGCCCCGGGCUUAACCUGGGAAUGGCAUUCAGGACUGCGAGGCUCGAGUGUGGCAGAGGGAGGUGGAAUUCCACGUGUAGCAGUGAAAUGCGUAGAGAUGUGGAGGAACACCGAUGGCGAAGGUAGCCUCCUGGGCCAGCACUGACGCUCAUGCACGAAAGCGUGGGGAGCAAACAGG